GAAUGUCAUUGAUCAAAGCUCGUCCUUGUGGCGUGGCUCGGUUGAUGCUUCCUAUCUUUCUGUAGGGGGGCAACUCUCUCAGAAUCAUUUACUUUGAAAAAAUUAGAGUGUUCAAAGCAGGCGUACCUUGCCAUUGAAUAUUACAGCAUGGGAUAAUAGAAUAUGACGUUGGUCUUAUUUUGUUGGUUUCUAAGGCUGAUGUA
rnacentral:rRNA from 1 species